GGGGUGGCUGGAAAACGUGGCCGUAGAGGUGACCCUGGGCUGAUUGGAUUAAAGGGCUCUUCAGGCAAGCAUGGGAAGUCCGGACCACCUGGUGAUCCCGGACUGAAAGCAUCACCUGGAGAGAAGGGGGACCAAGGCUACAAGGGGGAGCCGG